rnacentral:lncRNA from 1 species
AAAGGCAUUAUUAUUGUACAAAUCCCAGGCAUAGGGAGGAAAUCACAGUAUGAGUGAAAAAUGGGUUGGUAAGAAAAGGGGCACUGCAGAACUUGGGCCAAGGAACUCAGAUGCUGUGUGUUCAGAGAGAUCAAAGGAAUCUGAAGGAAAUUACUAAUCCCAAUCAGGUGGAAAUGAGUGAAUCUGUGCUCCAUAAAUAUAUAGAAAUAUACCUGCUGUUCAUAGAAAAUCUCUUGGCAAAAAGAUCAAAGGACUUCAGAGAUAUUUUCCAUGACAUGCUCAUGAGAUUGAAUGGCGUGGGGACAGGUCUUCUCUUAUCCCUGUUGUCCAGUGAGGAAGUUGAAGAUACAGAGACAGAACAUGAGGUCCUCAAGCUUUUCAUGGAUGAAAUGAGAGGAUGGGGUGGUUCGUUGCUGCUCUCUAAACCUGGUCCAAGGAACCCUUCCCUUAUUUUUCAAAUUCAGGCAGUGAGGACCAUCACUAGUAAGUGGCCAAAGUGGGACUCAAAUUCAGAUCUUCUGCCUUCAAGACCACUCUUCUUUCACCCCAGAAAAUAAGGACUCUGAAUCAGGAAAGGCAUGUUUCCUGCCUUGGUGGUAGCCAUAAGUCACCAGAGCUUCUCGACAACACGUGGGAGAUCAAUUGUUCGUUGACUCUGUUUUCAUUGUUUGUUUAAUUUUGUAACUAAACUAGUCUCCAAGGAGUAAAUUUUCUAGUCCACCAUAUGUAUCAUAUAGUUAAUUAUAACAGAUUCCCUCACUUAUCCAUGGAUCCUGAACAUAAGGAAGGCUCUCGUAUACAUAUGGAGAACAACACUGCUCUUACGGUCCCCUCUCCAUAAUAUCUCCUGUAGCCUUUGCACAGUGGACAUUAAUGACUUCUUUGGGGCCCCUUCUGGUUUCACCAGAUGAACAAAAAAAAUGAAAAUAAGCAUCUGUCAUGUUUUAACUUUUAAAAAACUCAAUCUAUCAAACCUCCCCCAAUUUGAAGGAGUAUUUGGCUUGGGGAGAGG